CUUCCUACGGGACGCAGCAGUCGGGAAUAUUGCGCAAUGGAGGAAACUCUGACGCAGUGAAGCCGUGUAUAGGAAGAAGGUUUUAGGAUUGUAAACUAUUGUCGUUAGGGAAGAGAAAGGACAGUACCUAAGGAGGAAGCUCCGGCUAACUACGUGCCAGCAGCCGCGGUAAUACGUAGGGAGCGAGCGUUAUCCGGAAUUAUUGGGUGUAAAGGGGGCGUAGACGGGAAAGCAAGUUAGUUGUGAAAUCGCUAGGCUUAACUGAGGAACUGCAACUAAAACU
rnacentral:rRNA from 1 species